rnacentral:lncRNA from 1 species
UUGGCAAUCUCACGUUAAUCUCUGUAGGUUCAGAGCUGCAGGUGUUUGAAAGCACGUGGGACCUCAGGAGACUCAAUUAUCCCUACAGGGGUCCCGGUGAGACCUCAUUUUGGUGGGGACCAGGGCAAGUUCCUGAAAAACGGAAAGUGAUCCAUCAACACCGCGCUCCCAGAGAAAUUAAGUGCCGGCCCCUGCGUGCUCUGCUGAGGUUGCCAGGCUAGCGGGGGAAAUACGGAGCAAAGGUACAUUAAAUGUAAGCAAAUUCAGCAGAUGAAGAGGGCAAUAACACAGAGGUUGUAUCCGGGAGGGGCAGGAUUCCAGCUGUGAGGCUGGCUGGAUGCAGCAGGGGCAAGAAGUGGGGGCCCCUGGGGAACAGGAGGUGGUGGGAGCUGUGCUCUGGGGGACAAAGCCUGACGCAUGCGCUCCCUGUGCUUCUGACGGCCCGGUGGGCAGGCAGCUUGAACCCUGAAUUUCAGGAGCGUUGUGUGUGAGGUGGGGAUGGAAACAGUCAACACUGCCUGCUCGUGCGUGGGUCGAGCGAGAGCACGAACUGACCAAGGUGAAGCCAGAACGGUGCCUUCCCCUUCCCCAUACCGAAACCAAGUCACCGGAGACGAGGAAGGAGACGGGAGCACAUGCUUUCUUUUCGGCCACACAUCCCUGCCCAUUCAUCCUAGACUCCUGAACACCACUGAGACAGAUGUGAUGCUCGGCAAAGCAUAUAGACUAUAAACAAGCAGAGAGACGCUGCUGCUUGACAAACAGUUGCUUCACUUUAUAAAGGAUUUCCCAUCACAGGCCUCUCUCGUGGAUGAAGAAUACGAUGAUUUCUCUAGUUUUAAUUUACAUACGACUUUUACUUCCUUGUAAAAAUAAACCUGUAUUCUGCCUUUUCCGUAUCAAAGCAUCCUCAGCUUCUCUGCAGGGCUAUCACUGUUGGAGGGGGAGUUGCCUGAUGUGUAAC